GUGACGCUGUCGGGGGUUGCGCUCGUCGUGACGACCACGUCGUCUGCCGGCAUCGUCUGUUCGAACUCGAACACGGCAAACGGGUGGAACCCGGUGCCCGCGGCGCUGUCGAGCGCGCCGUCCGCCUGGUAGGCGAGCUUGCGCUGGAGCGAGCGGAGCUUCAACGCGUCCCGGAGGACUUCCGCGCGAGGACGCGCUUCACACUUGUUGGCAUACGCGUUGAGCGUGGCCUCGUGGUUGAACGGCUUGCCCGCCUUGCGCGCCUCGAGAUGGGCGAGCAGCUGUCCAGCCGGGGUACCUUCAGCCGCCUUUGCCUUCUUGAGGCUGUCGAUCAGCCCAUCCCUAAUCUUGACGAGCUUGCGAUCUGCCGGCGCCAGGUCCGGGACCAUCGACAGCAGGUCACAUCGCUCGUUGGAGAACACGGGGCGAGUGAAGUCCACCAUGAUCACGUCACGGAUGAAACCUUCAUCGAUCACCUCGCGCGCCGCGAGCAGCUCGACGUAGGUCGCGUCCUCUUCCGAGCGCUCCACCACCAUGAACGCAUCCGUCAGCUCGGACUUGCCCGGAAUGCCAGGGAUGCGGCUCUUGACGGCGCUGAGCGCGGAGUCGACUUCCUUCUCGUCUUGCAAUCCGAGGAAGCCUGGGAAGAAGGUACUGUUGCGGUUGGCGGCGAAAAGUUGCCUCGGAAUGGCGAACUUGCCGCUCGCGUUGAUGUUGACCUGGACGCUGCAAAACAGCGGCUCGAGCAUGAGCUGGGUCGCUUUCAAUCCCUUCUUGAGCUGGCGAUUCUUGAGGCUGGCGAGCUGCGACGCAUUGAGGUUGUCGUCGCGAAGAAGCGUCCGCGCGCUCUUGAGCGCGGCGUUGGUGACCGUGCUCAAAGACUCGGCCUUGGUCUCGUUCCAGG
rnacentral:misc_RNA from 1 species